rnacentral:lncRNA from 1 species
GCUCUUUGCUUCUGUUCGGGAAAGGGGAGAAUGCUUCCGUAGGUAGUAUACGUCAGAGAUGUUUCCGGAAAUACCGACGGAUCGAUUUCCGGGUUAGGAUGGGAGAGAGAGCCGUAACACUAAGAAAUGUGGAGGAAAGGAGCCGGCGGAUAGGUGGUUGGCGUAGUAGCGCGGCGGCGCGGCGCGGCGCGGCGCGCCGAUCGAUGGCGGCGAGAGGAAGGCGAGUGUGGCGCCGUCUCCGUCGGUGGUCCGAGAUCGAUCGGACGCAGCCCGGAUGGAGGAGAAGGAAGCCGGAAAGUGCGGAUGCCGCCCGAGAGCGUCCCGCGGCCGUCUCUCGGCGCUCCCCCGCCGCUGGCUGGUAGCGGGCGCGCUUCUACUGGCGAUCGGCCUGCUGCUGCUGGUGUGCGGCGCUUGGCCCAGCCCCGUCGGCGGUGCCCUGUUGCUGAGCGGCGCCCCCAUCGCCUGCUUGGCCCUGUGUCUACUCGGAUGGCUGCCGAUCUACCUCCGCUGCCGUUCCACCCCGGCCCGGCCCCAAGCCGACUCUCCCGACGCCGUCGACGCCUCCAAGUCCGACUAUCCCAUGGGUCCUCUGGUGGUGCUCACCCUUCCGACCACCGCCAGCCCCGAGCCUUCCGACGCCGCAUCAACGGGCCCUCGAGACGGCACCGCUUCCACCCCCGAUCUUCUGGGAAGAAGCCACAAGAACAAACCUCCUUUAGCCAGUGCCGAGACUCUGACACCCUCUCUGCUAUCGUCCAGAGGAAGCGUGGACAGCAACCUUUAAAAUUAGGAAAUCAUCGAGAGAAGGAAGAGUGCCACAAUGGUAGCACGUCCCUCGGGAACUUCGAUUCUUCUCCAGGCGUUGACAAGAAACUGCAUUUCUCGAUCCAUCUCCGAGGUAACGGGAUGAGUCGAAUUGACGGAUUCCCUUUCGUUCUCCAAAAUCUCGUGCCAAAAAAUAAAUCCACAGGAAUGAGGAGAAUUCGUUCGCGUAGUUCGCAUUUUUUGGCCAUUGUCAAUGACGUCGGUGGAUUAUUAAUAAGCUUAAUUGUUGUCGAUGCAUCUAGGAAAUUAUUAUAAAUCCCCCGCAUUUUAAGAGAACGACACGUGUUUUAUCAAUUUUUAUAGAUCCGCAGCGCGUGUAAUUUCGAUAUUACGUCACUUUAAAAAAAAACAAACAAAUUUACCCGUAUUUUUUUCUAAAAUUCCGACCGAAAAUAGAAGUUUUAGUAGCGUGAUGCACCGAAAAAAAAAAAAAAAAACACCGUUCGAUGUUUGUAGAUUUAUAAGCAUUUUUGUAUGAAAUCUUUUGAAGUUUAAUCUCUAAAAUCCCGGUUGGAAGAUGUAUUUUUUAAUUGUUAAAUCCUGCGGUAAACUUUACCACCGAAUAUUUUUAUACCCCCGCAUCACUUUAGCCAUCUCGUUAAUAGGAAAUUUUAAGAAAAAAAAAAAUACAAUACAAAAUUUCGAGAGUGAAACAACCGCCGACCGUGGCAAAAAUCCACCCCGUUAUAACGUAUGACGUGAAAAAACUAUAUACAAUAUUGUUAAACGUGUAAAAGAAUAUUUUCGAAGAGAUUCGUUGUUUUAAAUACAAAGCAACGAUACUUAUAAAAGACGUUCGUAUUUAAAGUUAGGAAAAAAAAAAAAGUAAAUUGUCUGUUAUAUUAAUAUAAUGGAGUAAAAUAUUUUAAAAAAAAUUGUUCGUUAUACAUCAAUUUAAAUAUUAAAAACUUUUAAAAAUUUAACGAGAAACACUUUGCAAGUUUAAAAAAUAAAACUAGGGUCGAGCCAACAGUUUGGAUCACUUUUAGAAGUCCUAUUUACUGUAAACGUUUUCGAUUGAAUUGUAAAUUAAUUAUAGAGGUGUGUGUGUGUGUGAACCGAGGCCCCACGAUUAAAGGGGCCUGCGCUUUAUAUUACGUCUAGCACGAGACAAAUAACGUAGCAAUCAUAUUAAGAUAUCAACGGAUGCCCAUUCUGGACCAUUAGCGUGUUAUAGCUUCGAGGGGUCCGGAUCUAAUUGGAAUUUGGGGCCCAGAUAAGCCUACUUUAGACAUUUUUUCUCAUAAAAGAUUGAUUUGGGGCCCUCUGUUGGUGCGAGUAACGGGCAAUUUCCCUUUUUUUGUCCAUAGGAUAACGCUCCACUGUUUUGGCCACGGCAGUGUUUAUUUCUAUUGUUUUAUUUGUUUUUUUAUAAUUUUUAACCAUUAGAUUUUAAAAAAAUAAGUGAAAAACUGGUGGUUUGACCUUAUAUCGAGUUUUAAAUAGUCGUAUCGCGUAAUAACGCGACUAGGCACGUCGACAAUCUAUAGACAGAUCAUGCAUUCAUCUAAUUCAUCAACAGCGAGAAAAAAAAAUAAUAAAAUAUUUUUCUAGAAUAUUUAACGAUUAAAAUUUGUAAAACGAAGAAGAAGAAGAAGAAGAAGGGGAAAAAAUUCUAUUUGCGAGAUGUAAGUUUAAUUUAAAUGCAAAACCGGAGGCGUCAUUUCGUUUAUGAAGUUAACGAGUUCAUCCAACAUCCAAUUUCCUGAUAAAUGCGUAGUAGAAGGGGAUUUUUCUCUUUUUCGUCCCCGUAUAUUUCGUGCAAUUCAAUAACUGGAGCGACAAAAUAUUAUUUAUGUAGGCCUUAAUGGAUGUAAUCUUCGUUUUCUGUUGCAUGAUGAAUGCAGAUUUGAUUUUACAAAUGAUUGGAAAAAUGUCUCUGUUCAACUCUCUUAUAAACGGCAAUUAGAUUGUGUUGACAGUUAAUUAGUUUAUGUAAAAGUAAUAAAAGUUAAAUUUA